GCCGAGGUCGCAUAACCUGGCAUUGCGCAGGAUUGCUAAUCCUGUUCCGAAAGGAAUUGUGGGUUCAAAAAUAAUUGAGAGCACUAUCAUGAAUUUGGCUUUGUGCCUUUCAAUGAUUGAUAGUCCCACCCUCGGCG
rnacentral:tRNA from 1 species